rnacentral:rRNA from 1 species
GACGAACGCUGGCGGCGUGCUUAACACAUGCAAGUCGAACGGAAAGGCCCUGCUUUUGUGGGGUGCUCGAGUGGCGAACGGGUGAGUAACACGUGAGUAACCUGCCCUUGACUUUGGGAUAACUUCAGGAAACGGGGGCUAAUACCGGAUAGGAGCUCCUGCUGCAUGGUGGGGGUUGGAAAGUUUCGGCGGUUGGGGAUGGACUCGCGGCUUAUAAGCUUGUGGGUGGGGUAGUGGCUUACCAAGGCUUUGACGGGUAGCCGGCCUGAGAGGGUGACCGGCCACCUUGGGACUGAGAUACGGCCCAGACUCCUACGGGAGGCAGCAGUGGGGAAUAUUGCACAAUGGGCGGAAGCCUGAUGCAGCAACGCCGCGUGCGGGAUGACGGCCUUCGGGUUGUAAACCGCUUUCGCCUGUGACGAAGCGUGAGUGACGGUAAUGGGUAAAGAAGCACCGGCUAACUACGUG